GUUGAACGCUGGCGGCAUGCCUUACACAUGCAAGUCGAACGGCAGCACGGGGGCAACCCUGGUGGCGAGUGGCGAACGGGUGAGUAAUACAUCGGAACGUGUCCUUUCGUGGGGGAUAACCAGUCGAAAGACUGGCUAAUACCGCAUGAGAUCUCACGAUGAAAGCGAGGGACCGCAAGGCCUCGCGCGAUUGGAGCGGCCGAUGUCGGAUUAGCUAGUUGGCGGGGUAAAAGCCCACCAAGGCGACGACCCGUAGCUGGUUUGAGAGAACGACAGGCCACACUGGGACUGAGACACGGCCCAGACUCCUACGGGAGGCAGCAGUGGGGAAUUUUGGACAAUGGGCGCAAGCCUGAUCCAGCCAUGCCGCGUGUGUGAAGAAGGCCUUCGGGUUGUAAAGCACUUUCGGCCGGAACGAAAUCGCCUCCGUUAAUAGCGGGGGUGGAUGACGGUACCGGAAGAAGAAGCACCGGCUAACUACGUGCCAGCCGCCGCCGUAA
rnacentral:rRNA from 1 species